UGCACGGGUUAGUUGAUGUGCAGUCUGGCCUGCCCCCUGAGUUUUUAAAGGGCCGCGGUAUUUGGACCGUGCUAAGGUAGCAUAAUAAAUAGUCUUUUAAUUGAAGUCUAGUAUGAAAGGUCGGACAUGAAGUAGGCUGUUUUAAUUUUGUUAUUUGAAUUUUACUUUUAAGUGAAAAGGCUUAAAUUGUAUGAUGGGACGAUAAGACCCUAUAAAGCUUUACAUUUUAUUUAUAUUAGUUGUGAAAAUUAAGGUUCUUUAUUCUUAUUAAUUAAAGUGUUUCGUUGGGGCGACGGGAAUAUAAAAAGUAACUGUUUUUAUUUAAAAAUAUGUUUUUAUAGGUGAGUUGAUCCUUUGUAAGGAUUAUAAGAUUUAAGUUACUUUAGGGAUAACAGCGUAAUUUUUCUUGAGAGUUCAUAUCGACAGAUAUAGUUGCGACCUCGAUGUUGAAUUAAAAUACCCCUUAGGUGUAGCAGUUUUAGUGGUAGGUCUGUUCGACCUUUAAAAUUUUACAUGAUUUGAGUUCAGACCGGCGUG
rnacentral:rRNA from 1 species